CCUACGGGAGGCAGCAGUAAGGAAUAUUGGACAAUGCUCGCAAGAGUGAUCCAGCCAUGCCGCGUGCAGGAAGAAUGCCCUAUGGGUAGUAAACUGCUUUUGAACUAGAGAAAACCCCAGUACGUGUACUGGGCUGAUAGUAUAGUUAGAAUAAGCAUCGGCUAACUUCGUGCCAGCAGCCGCGGUAAGACGAAGGAUGCAAGCGUUAUCCGGAUUCAUUGGGUUUAAAGGGAGCGUAGGUGGACUGAUAAGUCAGUGGUGAAAUCUCCGAGCUUAACUCGGAAAUUGCCAUUGAUACUGUUGGUCUUGAGUACAGUUGCUGUGGGCGGAAUAUGACAUGUAGUGGUGAAAUACAUAGAGAUGUCAUAGAACACCGAUUGCGAAGGCAGCUCACAAAGCUGUAACUGACACUGAGGCUCGAAAGUGCGGGGAUCAAACAGGAUUAGAUACCCUGGUAGUCCGCACCGUAAACGAUGAUUACUCGCUGCUAGGGGGCAACCUUUAGUGGCUUAGAGAAGAGAGUAAGUAAUACACCGUACGGGAGGACGCCGGCGACGGUAGAAACGUUAAAAGUAAAGUUAGUAGGACGUAGAGGAGNGCGACGGACGACGACGAGGGGAGGUAGG
rnacentral:rRNA from 1 species